rnacentral:rRNA from 1 species
UGGGGAAUUUUGGACAAUGGGCGAAAGCCUGAUCCAGCAAUGCCGCGUGUGUGAAGAAGGCCUUCGGGUUGUAAAGCACUUUUGUCCGGAAAGAAAUCCUUGGCUCUAAUACAGUCGGGGGAUGACGGUACCGGAAGAAUAAGCACCGGCUAACUACGUGCCAGCAGCCGCGGUAAUACGUAGGGUGCAAGCGUUAAUCGGAAUUACUGGGCGUAAAGCGUGCGCAGGCGGUUUGCUAAGACCGAUGUGAAAUCCCGGGCUCAACCUGGACUGCAUGUGACUGGCAGGCUAGAGUAUGGCAGAGGGGGGUAGAAUUCCACGUGUAGCAGUGAAAUGCGUAGAGAUGUGGAGGAAUACCGAUGGCGAAGGCAGCCCCUGGCAAUACUGACGCUCAUGCACGAAAGCGUGGGGAGCAAAACAGGAUUAGAUACCCCUGGUAGUCCACGCCCUAAAACGAUGUCAACUAGUUGUGGGGAUCAUUCUUAGUAACGUAGCUAACGCGUGAAGUUGACCGCCUGGGGGAGUACGGUCGCAAGAUUAAAACUCAAUGAAUUGACGGGGUCAUAGCUGUUUCCU